CACGUAGGGGGCGAGCGUUGUCCGGAUUUAUUGGGCGUAAAGAGCUCGUAGGCGGCUCAGUAAGUCGGGUGUGAAAACUCCAGGCUCAACCUGGAGACGCCACCCGAUACUGCCGUGGCUAGAGUCCGGUAGGGGAGCAUGGAAUUCCUGGUGUAGCGGUGAAAUGCGCAGAUAUCAGGAGGAACACCAGUGGCGAAGGCGGUGCUCUGGGCCGGAACCGACGCUGAGGAGCGAAAGCGUGGGGAGCAAACAGG
rnacentral:rRNA from 1 species